UCUGCUCUUAUACUCGGUGUUAAAACUCGCUCACUUCUUCUUUUGGCAGAGGAGUCUGAGUGCUUCAUUUGCAGAGAUGUUGGCCUGGUGGGUGAAGAUCCUCUGCGAACCUUCUGCGACUGUAAGAACCUUGUAGCUCACCACAGCUGUCUGCUAACCUGGAUAAAAAAGGGUCUUGGACGAGAGGAGAGACUCAGAUGUAGCGUUUGCAAUGCCGAGUUUUACGCCUUGCAGCACCAAGUGGCCUCUGCCAACCUCCAUAAUGGCUUCCAGACUCUCCCACCUGACCAUGACAGACUUACAGGCGAAAGAGAAGGAGAUUCCUGAGGGUAUACAAGUCUGAAAUGUUCAAAUUCAGUUUGAGAAAAGGAGGAACGUCCACCGUGUAAGUCGGUGGGUUUCAGUGGUGGGGUAUAUUUCAGGUUCCAUUUCUAAGCUCGGCCCCUAAGAUGGCCCACAUUGAUUUCCUUCACUUCUGCUCUUUGCUUGGUCUCAGUGCUUUCAUUAAACCCUAAUCCGUCUCAUUUGCUAUGCUUCCAGGAGACAUGGAACUAAAAGAGGGAGGUGGAUAAUGAAUAGGAAAGAAAAUGUGAAGUUGCAUAUGUUUUUUUCCCCUGCUCUUUAAAUGACCCUUGUCUUCACAUUCAUGAUGAGGCUGUUUUAAUAGUCUUCAUAAGAGGAAUUUUAAAUCACAAAACUGCUAACCUGCAGGUUAAUAAAAAUGGUAAUUUGGUAAUCUUGUAUCUGAUUUAAUUGGAUUUCAAGAACCCCUUUAAAAUGUGUUUGCAUUCUGGAAAAUUUACAUGUGCCGUGUUAAAAGGGAACUUGAAUCUCCAGCUGUCAGGAUAAUGAAUUAGACAAUUUCAUCUCUAUAAUCUUCUGACAAUCUCCGCUUGUACUUUCCUGUCACAGUUAUCCAUUAAAGCAAUGAAUUACCUAAAUAUUUGAAAUGUUUUACAUGGUUUUGUUGCUUUGUAAUGUUGCUAGGGC
rnacentral:lncRNA from 1 species